rnacentral:rRNA from 1 species
UACGUAGGUGGCAAGCGUUGUCCGGAAUUAUUGGGCGUAAAGCGCGCGCAGGCGGCCUCUUAAGUCUGAUGUGAAAGCCCCCGGCUCAACCGGGGAGGGCCAUUGGAAACUGGGAGGCUUGAGUAUAGGAGAGAAGAGUGGAAUUCCACGUGUAGCGGGUGAAAUGCGUAGAGAUGUGGAGGAACACCAGUGGCGAAGGCGACUCUUUGGCCUAUAACUGACGCUGAGGCGCGAAAGCGUGGGGAGCAAACAGG